rnacentral:rRNA from 1 species
GUGGGGAAUAUUGGACAAUGGGCGAAAGCCUGAUCCAGCCAUGCCGCGUGUGUGAAGAAGGUCUUCGGAUUGUAAAGCACUUUAAGUUGGGAGGAAGGGCAGUAAGUUAAUACCUUGCUGUUUUGACGUUACCGACAGAAUAAGCACCGGCUAACUUCGUGCCAGCAGCCGCGGUAAUACGAAGGGUGCAAGCGUUAAUCGGAAUUACUGGGCGUAAAGCGCGCGUAGGUGGUUUUGUAAGUUGGAGGUGAAAUCCCCGGGCUCAACCUGGGAACUGCCUGCAAAACUGCAUGACUAGAGUACGGUAGAGGGUAGUGGAAUUUCCUGUGUAGCGGUGAAAUGCGUAGAUAUAGGAAGGAACACCAGUGGCGAAGGCGACUACCUGGACUGAUACUGACACUGAGGUGCGAAAGCGUGGGGAGCAAACAGGAUUAGAAACCCUGGUAGUCC